rnacentral:rRNA from 1 species
UACGUAGGGUGCGAGCGUUAAUCGGAAUUACUGGGCGUGAAGCGUGCGCAGGCGGUUAUUUAAGUCAGAUGUGAAAUCCCCGGGCUUAACCUGGGAACUGCGUUUGAAACUACAAGGCUAGAGUGUGGCAGAGGGGGGUGGAAUUCCACGUGUAGCAGUGAAAUGCGUAGAGAUCCGGAGGAACACCAGCGGCGAAGGCGGCAUCCUGGACUGGUCCUGACGCUCAGGAGCGAAAGCGUGGGGAGCGAUCCGG